UACGGAGGGUGCAAGCGUUAUCCGGAAUCACUGGGUUUAAAGGGUGCGUAGGCGGUUAUAUAAGUCAGUCGUGAAAGGUUCCCGCUCAACGGGAGACGUGCGAAUGAUACUGUAUAACUUGAACAUAGAUAAAGUGGGCGGAAUGCAUCAUGUAGCGGUGAAAUGCUUAGAUAUGAUGUAGAACACCGAAAGCGAAGGCAGCUCACAGUACUAAUGUUGACGCUGAGGCACGAAAGCGUGGGUAGCGAACAGG
rnacentral:rRNA from 1 species